rnacentral:rRNA from 1 species
CCCGCGUCCGAUUAGCUAGUUGGUGAGGUAACGGCUCACCAAGGCUACGAUCGGUAGCUGGUCUGAGAGGAUGAUCAGCCACAUUGGGACUGAGACACGGCCCAAACUCCUACGGGAGGCAGCAGUGGGGAAUAUUGGACAAUGGGCGCAAGCCUGAUCCAGCCAUGCCGCGUGAGUGAUGAAGGCCUUAGGGUUGUAAAGCUCUUUUGUCCGGGAAGAUAAUGACUGUACCGGAAGAAUAAGCCCCGGCUAACUUCGUG